ensembl:lncRNA
CUGACCACCAGGCAGGAGAGAACAAUGUAUUCUGGGGAUGCAGGAUUUCCUCCUUUGGACCCACUUCCAAUAGAAAUCCCCACACACAUCGUAUCUUCCAUCUGUCUGCUGAAACACAAAGAUAAAUGUCUCGACAAGAGAGCAAGGGAGAGGUUUUGACAACACCAAAGAUGCUUGAAAGCAGAGAAUCUUGUAGGGCUUAAGAAAGAAAGACUUUCAUCUCUCAGAUUCAUUUCUCCGGGGAGUGUUAACUGCCCCCAGACGAGUCACCACAAUGCAGCAACCGGUAAAACUAUUUUCCCUGUCUCCAAGGCAUCCCUGAAGCACCAAGAGGCCAAUUCCUCUCGGGGAGACAUGCAAGUUACAAAAUGCAGGGCAGGGAGGAAGCAGCAAGCAGUCAAUUCGCCUGGAAAGAGCUGUGUGAGAAUCAUAGGUGUAAUUUACUAGCUUUCAGUUGCCACUUCAGAGGGGCAAAGUCCGAAUACUUCUUAGGUAUCGAAGUUGUGCUCCCCGUGGCGUGGCCCUGAAACAUUUCCGUUGUGUUAUCAGGUUCUGUGCUGGGUCCACCGAUUGCCUAAUUACUCUUGCGGGGCUCCUUCUGCUCUCUCCCUUCCGUUUGCUGCGGCCAGGAAUUAUAACCCUGAUUGUUCCAGGCUGUUUCUCGGACAUUCACGUGUUUCCCUUAACUGGAGAAGACACCGCGGUGCAGUCGCCUCCCUUCUGGGACUGGAAGAUGAGAUAUUUUUUUAGUAGAAGUGACUGGCCCCUGAUUCCGAAUGCAUAUGUAUCCAAAGGCAGUAGAAAUGUGUGUGUGACCAAGAGUCAAGUUCUGAGCUUCUAUAAGGUAAUUCCUUUUGCAAAGCACAGUGUGGGCUGGGGCCUGGGCACAGCCAACUCGGCCCUUUCAGGAGCCAGGUGGCUGGGGACCAAGCCUUCUGGUAAAGCACUGGGGAGAAGCCCCAGAACAGGAG